AUUGAACGCUGGCGGCAGGCCUAACACAUGCAAGUCGAGCGGAUGAAGGGAGCUUGCUCCUGGAUUCAGCGGCGGACGGGUGAGUAAUGCCUAGGAAUCUGCCUGGUAGUGGGGGAUAACGUCCGGAAACGGGCGCUAAUACCGCAUACGGCCUGAGGGAGAAAGUGGGGGAUCUUCGGACCUCACGCUAUCAGAUGAGCCUAGGUCGGAUUAGCUAGUUGGUGGGGUAAAGGCCUACCAAGGCGACGAUCCGUAACUGGUCUGAGAGGAUGAUCAGUCACACUGGGACUGAGACACGGUCCAGAGUCCUACGGGAGGCAGCGGUGGGGAAUAUUGGACGAUGGGCGGAAGCCUGAUCCAGGGAUGCCGCGUGUGUGAAGAGGGUCUUCGGAUUGUAAAGCACUUUUAGUGGGGAGGAAGGGCAGUAAGUUAAUACCUGGCUGUUUUGACGGUACCAACAUAAGAAGCACCGGCUAACUUCGUG
rnacentral:rRNA from 1 species